rnacentral:piRNA from 1 species
UAUCAGCGUAACCACAGGAUUUUAGCAAAG